rnacentral:rRNA from 1 species
AUUGAACGCUGGCGGCAGGCCUAACACAUGCAAGUCGAACGAGUGGCGGACGGGUGAGUAAUGCCUGGGAAUCUAGCUUAUGGAGGGGGAUAACUACGGGAAACUGUAGCUAAUACCGCGUACCAUAGGAUGAGCCCAAGUGGGAUUAGGUGGUUGGUGAGGUAAAGGCUCACCAAGGCGACGAUCUCUAGCUGGUCUGAGAGGAUGACCAGCCACACUGGAACUGAGACACGGCCCAGACUCCGACGGGAGGCAGCAGUGGGGAAUAUUGCACAAUGGGCGCAAGCCUGACGCAGCCAUGCCGCGUGGAUGAAGAAGGCCUUCGGGUUGUAAAGUACUUUAAGUGGGGAGGCGUUACCUACAGAAGAAGCACCGGCUAACUCCGUGCCAGCAGCCGCGGUAAUAC